CAAGGUCUAAAUGAAACCGUGGCCAUGGAUAAUGUUUGUGUCUUGCGUUGUGACAGGGGCCUGUCCCGUUGGGGAGUAGAUGAAGCUUAACAUUCACAGGCCUUGGAAGCCAUGAGAUGGAGAGACUCCGGCUGUCUGCCAAGCAGAACCUGGUAGAUCUUUGGCAAGGUGGUUGACAACUCUUACCCUGAGACAAUCAGGAAGGCUUGGGGAGAAGAUACCCUUCUGUGUCAUUCCUGUGCUUUACCUGGUUUUCUGCUCUCAUCUUAUCUCCUUGGGAAGACCCUGGAGUGGACACAGUAUAAACCAUCCCACCUCCUCGACCUGGACAAUUCGUUGACCUCCUGUAUUUGCCCCCUGGUGGCUUCUGUUCUGCCCUACAAAGACAGAUUCUGUUUCUGGGAAGUGGACUGGGCCGAUCUACCUUCCUACUGCAAACCCUUUCCCAGAACUACGGGAUGAGCGGAAACAUGAGGGACAAGAGGCAGCAUGUGAAACCCUCCAGCCUCCUCACCCCCUUGCACGCUUGCUUUCCUGGGAUCUUCCACGAGGUGCUCUGCACGUAGUCCAGGGACCCACCCAGGAAUAAGACUGUGUCCAGUGGGGCAGAGCUGGCUGUGUCCUCUGAGAACGCAAGGAAGCACGAGCAAGAGAAAAACGCCUGGGCUCAGAUCCCAGUGAACUCGUCUGCUUCUCCUUGAACUUUUUGCAAUAUCAUCUAUGCUGGAAAUGAUCAUUUAAAGCCACAGUCUAGCAUAAUGUUUACAUCCCGAGGGUUGGAACUGGAGUCAUUAAGUCUUUCAAACAACAAGGACUUUCUCCAGAAUACCUACUUGAUAAACCUUCUCGACUGACUGUGCUUAUUUGUAAUCUCUGCUCACAACUGGGUCCUUGACAAAACCUACUAUAAACUUCUCAACUAUCAAUUAUACAUAAAAAAUGUGGGUGAAAUGAUGGAGAAGAAUUCAAAAACAAAUAGCAUUGCUCAUAAUGAAGAGAAGAUUCUACCUUCUACAAUAUGUAAUUUGAUGAAAUAUGCUAAGCAAGGUUGGGAGAAAAUGGAACUAUUAUUUGUUGUCUGAGCUCCUGGAUCACCCACUACCACUUGCUUAUCUCUACUGGGCUCAAGCUUUUCCUGUGGCAUGCCCCCCUGUUCAUCUACCUCUCUGCCUCGCCCAUGGUUUGCUGGAUGCUCCUGGUGAGCCUGGUAUCCCAAAGGAUGUUCGUAUCCGCUGUGGUUGGGUGCUCUCAGCUUUCUGCUUGGCCUUGGGCAAAGCCACGGUACACUCCAACUCUUCAGCUCUGGCCGCAAUGCCUUGAGCUUGAAUACAAAUAACCUUGGAGUGGGAAGCUUUUCUACUCAACCUCGGACAUAGCUGAACAGAUUUUGCUUUAGUGAAAUGAAGUGGAGCCUGAAUUUAUCUGGAAAUGUGUGGAAUCAGCAGAGAGCAGUAAACACAAGUCUAGGGAAGUGGGAAACCAUUGUGAAUGAUUUCGUGUUUUUCACUCCCAGUGGGCAUUUGGGCAUUAUUGUAAAGAACCAUGUUUUCAAACCUGCCAAUAACAGAACAGAUCUUUAUUCAUUGUGGAUGAGGCUUCCACUGGGAGAGUUGAAGCUCUCGUUCCUUUUUCGUCAACUAGAGAAGCUCUUCAGAGUUCCAAGCUUCUGUUUUCUGACUCCCACGCCAUAAAGGGAGAUGUUAGAUAUAUUUCCCAUAGGAUAACCUCAGGGCUUUCUGGGGGAAGUCGGACAGUUUCUAUGGUGGCAUAGAAUGACAGUUCACCAGAGAAACAAUUCCAAGGAAAGGGCAAAUAUAUGCAUUCUGUCCAUUUGUCUUUCCUCUGUGUGUAUUGUUGCAAACAAUAGAAUCGACUCAAGUAAGUUUAGGCAGAAAAGGGAUUUAAUAAGAGAAAUGGGUAGCUCGUAGAAUCACUGAGGUGGGGGGCAGAUUGUUGUAGAAACAGACUUGAGGCUAAGUUUCCAGAAACAUAUCCCACAUCAGAUCACAAAACCACAGCAUGAGUAGACCUUUGUCAUUGCUCCUUCAUGAGCUGAAGACUCCCAAACUUUUGCAGCUCUGCUGGGGCCUCCGGUGACGGGUGCUAAUCUUGCAGUGGGAACUCAAUGUUGCAACCCAAGACUGGAGGCUUAUGUUGCCACACAUACCCAGAAAAUGGAAGCUCCACCAGGACUUCGAAACAAAUGCCCCUAGCCAUGUGUCUCAUGCAGGCAGCACCAUGGGAGAUGCAAGGGGAGCUGGGGAUUCUGGUGCUGAUUUCAACCCUGGGGUUUGGGGGCAUAGCUGUAUAGAUCCCCUGGGUUUAUGUUCCAGCAUUCACAUUUAUUCAGCAGGACAGUGCCUUCCAAGUUCUAGAUAGGAGCCUGCAGCAAAGUGGUUGACUGUCUGGGCUUCAGAAUCAGUCAGACAUAGGUUUGAAUUUAGGCCCAACCUGCUGCUCUCAUAGUGACUGUAAGAAGUCACUUGCCCUCUCUUUCUCCUCUGUGCGUCAACUUCCUUAUCUGCAAAAGACACUGACUAUCAUGUAUCUUAGAGGUAUGUGAUAAAAGUUUAAAUGAACAUCUACAUCAAACCCUUUGUACAGUUUUUUUUUUUUUUAAGGUUUUAUUUAUUUGACAGAGAUCACAAGCAGGCAGAAAGGC